UGCCUCCUGGGUUCAAGCAAUUCUUCUGCCUCAGCCUCCUGAGUAGCUGGGACUACAGUGGUCCUUACACUGGAUUUAUUUAUCUUGAAUAGGCAGACAACUGGAGAUGCAGAUCUCAAUCUAUGGUGCAUAUCAAGCAAUUAAACUUUUUCUUGUAAUGUUAUGAUUUUUUUCUGCUUUCUGGGAACAUUUCCAGCAUUACUUACUAGUGGCACUUUGUAUGGUUCCCAUGGUGUUAUUUAAGGUUAAUGGUGUUACACUUAAGCAUGAUGAACCAAAAGAGGUCACUUUUUACUGUGACACACAAUUUACUGGAAUGAUGAAAUGUUCACUUGGAGAUAAUUAGUGCUACAUGGUGUGAAGUACAUACUUGUGACACUUGAGCUCACUGCAGUAGCAGCAGGAGGUGUCUACAAAAUUAUUAUAAUAGUAUAGUAUUACUACAGUUAAUUUUAUAUGGUUAUGAUUUAAUACUGCAUCCUUAUAUUUGGUUACAUUUGUCUUGACUGUGAAUAAGUGUUUGCAUGUGUUUUGAUGAAUUUUAACUUUUUGUGAUAGAUUUGUGUAUAUUUUAUGGUAGUAAAUGGUAAAAUAGACUAAUAACUACAUAUUUUAUGCCUUCAUGACGUACGUUUUUCUUAAUUUUUUAAGUAUUUCUCAGCUGUGGGUUUGUUUUUUUCAAAUUAUUGUAAAUCUCCAAAAACUUUUCUAAUAUAUUUGUUGAAAAAAAUCCACAUGUAAGCAGAACUUUGUAGUUCAAACCUGUGUUAUUUGAGUCAACUAUGGUCUCUUCUGUGAGUUUACAGCAGUUACCUAACUGGAAUCUACCCCUCCAAUCUUGUCCCCUGACCUAUCCCAUUCUUCCUUAUGUGGCAUCCAGAAUGACCUGGCUCCAGGCCAAUAGCACUUGUCCACCCAGCUGGGACAUGGGUAGAAGAGCUGCUCUCAAUUGGCCAUCCAAGGUAGAUAUUGUAUGGACAGUUAUAGGGGGCUUGGGUGUAAUUGAUUUCCCGAACCCAUUGUAAUAUUAUUUUAAAUUAUAAUAAACUAUACCAUCAUGUCUUCUCAUAUCAAGUACAUACUAAGGAGGUUACAAAUGGAUGGACACAUGACAGCUUGGGUCUGACCAUCUCAAUCAGGUUUAACUAGGUUCUAGCAAGGCAAUCAUUCAGAGCCUUGUUAUUUUAACAGCUUUGAUCUUCCUGGAAGCUGAAUUUGAAUAGAAGGAAAACUGCUGAUUGUGAUUAAUGUUAUACCCAAGGUUUUUUGUGGAAAAACAUGUGUGUGUGUGUGUGUGUGUGUCUUAAUGCUUAGUCUGUCUAAUGAUAAUAUCUGAAUUCUAUCAAUUUUGUGUUCUGCUGUCAUGUAGAAAUUAUUCACUUGGGACUAAAAUUGUCCAAAUGGAUGAAUUCUUUGGAGAACUGAGGAUUUACUUCUUUAAACUCGAAAACUGUGUAUUUGGCAUUUUGAAUCAGAAAUGUGUUAUAAACCUCCCCAUCAAUGUAACCAGUAUAAAUUGUUGUUUUAUUGAUUACUCAGGACUUUAAAUGUAAGUGGGUACAGUGAUGUUUCUAGGGUCUAUUGAGAAAUAGCAAGGUAUUUGCCCCAUCACUAAAUAGCCCCAGAUAGCCAUUUUCAACUUUUUGUAGUUUUUCUGUCUCUCCUCUAGUUGAUAUUUCAUACUGUUGCCAGUGAGUUUACCUGUAGCAACUCUUGUUCCCAAUUUUGUUGUUUCCAAUUUUGUUGAAUACUGGAGAAACCAAACCAAGCCUUAGAGAGUUGUAUGUAAAAGAGUAUGUACAAGAGUAAAUAGGUCCAGAAUAAGAGUAUAGGGGCUUAUCUAGGAUCAAAGUGUAUACAUGUCAGAACAGAGGCUUUGUUACAUCCACUAUUUGAAACAGGUCUUUAAAGACUAAUAGUAAAAUAAAUAUCCAUAUAUUACAUCUGCCAUUUGAAGGUCAAAAUGGUAGAUUAUUGGCAGUUUCAUCUGGUUAAACCUAAUAUAUAUAUACCAUGCAUGAGUGAGCUAGAUUAGUGUUUUGCAAUUUACUGUGGUCAGCUUUCUUUGUGUGUGUGUGGUAAUUUCCACUCCAUCACAGUCAAAUUCUUUUGCAAAAGACAAUAAAAACAGAUUGCUAGAAAAAUUAGAUGAAAACAUACAAAAUAAAAGCCCAUUUAUUUUAUUAGAUUAGUAUAGACACAAAAUUAUAUUUUAAUACAAAUAAUCAGAACAACCUCAUAUAGGAAAAAAGAGAUAUAAAACUGCACAUACUCAAUAUGUAUACAUACAUUUGAUUAAUAUGGAAAUUACUGAACAUGCAAAUUCUGUUCUUUGCCAUCAUAACUAAACACAGUUAUAAGGGAAAUAAUGAUUCGUGGUUUUGAACUUGUUUUUUUAAUUCAAACACCACUUAGGUUUCAGCGUUUAGGUGGUUCCAUUACUUCCUUAGCUUCUACAAAUAACACCCAGGGUUUAGCACUUGACCAUAACUUACAUCUACAAAAUCAGACAAACCCAGCAUUUGAGGGAUCAUAUUUUGAGAAAAACAGGUACAAACUCUUUUAACCUUUUUCUCUUUGGAAUCAUUCCCAUUGUCAUCAUUUAGUCAACUACUAUCACUACAUUCAGAAAAAGUGUGUCU